rnacentral:rRNA from 1 species
UUAGAGUUUGAUCCUGGCUCAGGAUGAACGCUAGCGGCAGGCUUAAUACAUGCAAGUCGUGGGGCAGCAUGACUGUAGCAAUACAGUUGAUGGCGACCGGCAAACGGGUGCGGAACACGUACGCAAUCUACCCAGAACUGGUGAAUAGCCCUCCGAAAGGAGGAUUAAUACACCGUAACAUAAUAGAGUGGCAUCACUUUGUUAUUAAAGCUCCGGCGGUUUUGGAUGAGCGUGCGCCCCAUUAGGUAGUUGGUUGAGGUAAUGGCUCACCAAGCCUGCGAUGGGUAACUGGUGUGAGAGCACGACCAGUCACACGGGCACUGAGACACGGGCCCGACUCCUACGGGAGGCAGCAGUAAGGAAUAUUGGUCAAUGGACGCAAGUCUGAACCAGCCAUGCCGCGUGGAGGAUGAAGGCCCUCUGGGUUGUAAACUUCUUUUAUGGGGGACGAAAUCACUUAUUCUUAAGUGUCUGACGGUACCCCAGGAAUAAGCACCGGCUAACUCCGUGCCAGCAGCCGCGGUAAUAAU